CUUGACAUCCAGCGAACUUGGCAGAGAUGCCUUGGUGCCUUCGGGAACGCUGAGACAGGUGCUGCGUGGCUGUCGUCAGCUCGUGUUGUGAAAUGUUGGGUUAAGUCCCGCAACGAGCGCAACCCUUUAUCCUUUGUUGCCAGCGAUUCGGUCGGGAACUCAAAGGAGACUGCCGGUGAUAAACCGGAGGAAGGUGGGGAUGACGUCAAGUCAUCAUGGCCCUUACGAGUAGGGCUACACACGUGCUACAAUGGCGCAUACAAAGAGAAGCGACCUCGCGAGAGCAAGCGGACCUCAUAAAGUGCGUCGUAGUCCGGAUCGGAGUCUGCAACUCGACUCCGUGAAGUCGGAAUCGCUAGUAAUCGUGGAUCAGAAUGCCACGGUGAAUACGUUCCCGGGCCUUGUACACACCGCCCGUCACACCAUGGGAGUGGGUUGCAAAAGAAGUAGGUAGCUUAACCUUCGGGAGGGCGCUUACCACUUUGUGAUUCAUGACUGGGGUGAAGUCGUAACAAGGUAAGCGUAGCGAG
rnacentral:rRNA from 1 species